UGAGGUAAGGAAUGGGCUAAUGAUGUGGGGAAAGGUAGGUCAGCGGAGCUAAUCAAUAAGUACAAGGGGCUGAUAAAGACAUUUAAAGAAAAAGGCCAUAACUUAAGU